GGCGGUUCGUAAACAAAACCAGCUAGGCCUAGAUCUAUAGCUUGAUUGAAGACGAUUAUUAUGACGAGACAUUUUUAAGAUGAUCGAUUUCUGUGAAAAUGAUUACCUGGUUGGCAUUCAUGCAAGCAAGCCCUACAACUUGUAGUACAACUGCCAUGUAUCAACACUCCAUACAAACCAGCUCAGGAUGAUGGGAACUAAGCUGAAUUACUUUACCAGAUUGCCUCUUACGGUAGCAGGGUAUUCAUGGAGCAUUAUCGAGAUGGUAUCAGGAAGAGAGUGUUCGGCAGGUGAAGCGCCACUGCCCAGAAUCAUCUGAGCAGGACAUUGCCCGAGCUAUUUGUCCGAUGCCCUCUCGCCUUAUCCUUGCUGAUCACACUGUCCAACACUACAAUGUCAUCAAGCUGCUCGGAGUGUUUAUGCAGUCCAAUAUCAAAUUGUGUCCUUGUAAUGCCCUUAUUUAACUGUUUAGCAGCUCAAUAAAUAGUGUACAUUCAGAGCUUCUUACUAAAGGUAUUACAAAGUUUUGGUAAGGGGUCUUGAAUUUGGUUCAAAUAAACAUAUUGGAAGCAUAUACUAUCCUACAAUAAUCAGUGAUCGUUGUCGCGGUUGAAAUCGAUUCUAAAGUUAUGAAAUUGUAAAUAAUUAACUUUUUAUGUUGUAUAGCUCCCUCUCAAAGUCAAUAUAUUAAUUAAGCUAUAAAACAAUGUUUCUUGACUAAAAUCGACCAAUUAGCUAUUCCGGUUUGGAAAUUAUAUAUCACAACUACAUAUUCUAAGAUUUUUAUGGUCGCAGUUACCAUUGUAAGGUUAAUUGUUCAAUUUUUCUUUGAAAAAAUACAUCAGUACAACAGAAUUUAAUCAAAUUUGGCAGGGAUUAUUCAUGAGAAAUUAUAGGUUGUUGAGGUACCUUGCCCCUCAACGGAACCCCCGAAAAUGUCCAUACAUGUAUAUAGCAAUUUCUUUACUUUGACUCUAAAACUUAAUGCUGGCACUCAAUAAAAUUUGACAUUUGAGAGGGGAUCUGAAUUUGUUUGUAUCGAUUACCUUGCCCCUCAUGAGGACUCAGGGGCAGUGCUCCCCUAAGGGUCUCUUGUACGUAGUGUUGCCAGAUGUUUAUGCAUGAGGGGGGGGGGGUAUAUUAAAAAAAUAAUCAUCUGUGGUACAUUUUCGAUGUAGGUACCCAAGGGCA